GACGAACCGUGCGAACGUUGUUCGGAAUCACUGGGCUUAAAGGGCGCGUAGGCGGGCUGUCAAGUCCGGGGUGAAAUCUUUCGGCUCAACCGGGAAAGUGCCUUGGAUACUGAUGGUCUGGAGGGAGGUAGGGGUAUGUGGAACUUCCGGUGGAGCGGUGAAAUGCGUUGAUAUCGGAAGGAACGCCGGUGGCGAAAGCGACGGACUGGACCUCUUCUGACGCUGAGGCGCGAAAGCUAGGGAGCAAACGGGG
rnacentral:rRNA from 1 species